rnacentral:rRNA from 1 species
CCUACGGGUGGCAGCAGUGGGGGAUAUUGCACAAUGGGGGAAACCCUGAUGCAGCGACGCCGCGUGCGUGAAGAAGCGCCUCGGCGCGUAAAGCUCUGUCAGCAGGGAAGAAAAUGACGGUACCUGAAGAAGCAUCCCCGGCUCACUCCGUGCCAGCAGCCGCGGUAAUACGUAGGGGGCAAGCGUUAUCCGGAUUUACUGGGUGUAAAGGGGGCGCAGUCGGCGAUGCAAGUCAGGGGUGAAAGGCCGGGGCCCAACCCCGGGACUGCUGUUGGAACUGCGGGGCUAGAGUGCAGGAGGGGCAGGCGGAAUUCCUGGUGUAGCGGUGAAAUGCGUAGAUAUCA